rnacentral:rRNA from 1 species
UAGGGAAUCUUCCACAAUGGACGCAAGUCUGAUGGAGCAACGCCGCGUGAGUGAAGAAGGUUUUCGGAUCGUAAAGCUCUGUUGUUGGUGAAGAAGGAUAGAGGCAGUAACUGGUCUUUAUUUGACGGUAAUCAACCAGAAAGUCACGGCUAACUACGUGCCAGCAGCCGCGGUAAUACGUAGGUGGCAAGCGUUGUCCGGAUUUAUUGGGCGUAAAGCGAGCGCAGGCGGAAUGAUAAGUCUGAUGUGAAAGCCCACGGCUCAACCGUGGAACUGCAGCGGACACUGUCAUUCUUGAGUGCAGAAGAGGAGAGUGGAAUUCCAUGUGUAGCGGUGGAAUGCGUAGAUAUAUGGAAGAACACCAGUGGCGAAGGCGGCUCUCUGGUCUGCAACUGACGCUGAGGCUCGAAAGCAUGGGUAGCGAACAGG